GGCCCAGUGGCUCAGUUGGUUAGAGCGCUGCCCUGUCACGGCAGAGGUCACGGGUUCGAGUCCCGUCUGGGUCG
rnacentral:tRNA from 1 species